CAUAUAUAUGUGUGUGCAUUAUAUGUAUAUAUACACACAUAUAUAUAGAGGCUGGAUAUUAAUCUCUGACAUGUAUAUAGCUAGCAGACAUGAUCUCCCAUUCUUUGAGCCUCUUCUUCACCUGGUUGAUUGAUCCUUUAGCUGUAAAAAAGCUUUCCAGUUUCCUGAAGUACCACUUGUCAAUAGCUACCCUUAAUUCUUGGGCAAAUUGGGUCCCAUUCAGAAAAUCCUUUCCUGAACCUAUGUCAUGUAAGGUACUGCCUCUUUUCUUCUCCCAGUUUCAGUGUUUCAGAUUUCACAUUGGGGUCUCUGAUCCAUUUGGACUUAAGUUUUGCAGAUUGGUACAUAUGGGUCUAAUUUAAUUGUUCUGCAUGUGGACAACUACUUUUUCCAGCACCAUUUGUUGAAGACAAGUCCUUUUCUCCACACUGUGUUUUUGGCUUCUCUGUUGAAUACAAAGUGGGCAAAGUUAAAGUGUUACAAUGAGACAAGUGUCACACAAUAACAGUAUUUUUAUAAAAUAUGCCUGGUCUCAGUCUGUGCUGAUUCAUCUUUUGUCAAUUCAGUCAAACACAUCUGGAAAAAGAGAAUCUCAGGUGAGAAAAUGCCUCUAUCACUUUGACCUCUAGUCAAGUCUGUGGGGCAUCUUCUUAUGUGGCUCAGCUCUCUGCAGACAGUGCCUCCCCUGGGAAGGUGGUCCCAGGUUGUAUAAGAAAACAGGAUGAAAAAGGACAUGAGGAGAAAUCCAAUAUGGAGUGUUUCUCCAGGCUUUCUGCCUCCAGGUUCCUGCUUGAAGAUCCUGCCCUGAUUUCUUUAGUAUAGAUAUAUUAUGACCUGGGAGCUAUAAGAUAAAAUACUAUCCCCCAAGUUGCUUUCGGAAAUGGCCUUUAUCACUGCAGUAGAAAGCAAACUAAGGUUUAUAUUUUACAGGUAUGUAUUUCUCUAUUAAAAUAUCAAAAAAAAUGUGCUUUGGGAUAUCUUCCAGGAAAUGCAUCUAAAGCCAGGUAGUGGUAUACACCCUCAAGCUAAGCUGUUGAGAGGUGGAAGCAGUUACAUUGUGUCAUGGUUGGUUACUGGUGCUAUGAUGAAACACUAUGACCAAAGCAACAUGGGGAGGUUAUUUGGUUUCAGCUACAAAGGAUCUGAUGCCUUCUUCUGGCCUCUUCAGACACCUGCAAUCAUGCACGCACACACACACACACACACACACACACACACACACACACUUAAAAAUAAAUCUUUGAAAGUAGGGUAGGGCCAGGUUGUUACACAACACAGUAGGGCAUUUGCUUAACGUGGGUGAGACUCGGGGUUGGAUCCUCAGCAACUGCAAAAUAAUAAUCAAUAAUCAAUAAUCGAUAAUAACGCAAGGAAGACUGGAAAACAUAGGCUUUCACUCUAAUGGUAGAGAAGUUGAGACUUGAUGCAGCUAUAUGGGAAAGCCAACUCCGGGCACCAACAAAAGCAAGGGAAGGGAGUAAGGACUGAACCAAGAAAGACCUAUUUGAAUGAUUGAACUUCAACAACACACCACAAUGAUAAGCAUUUUACACAAUCAGAACAACAAGGACAAAACAGACACUCAAACGUGAUUCCCUGGCUCCCCCAAAAGACACUGAAUAGACUACAAGCAAUGACCUAAGCCAGCCUGAGUCUCAAAAUCUUCCAUGGAGGACUGUCACUUUCUCAGCAACGUCCUACAAGUUUUGUCUCUACCCACACCUCCACAAACACAUCACAGAGCGACCACCUCAGGAAAAGGGACGUGGAUGAUGAAGGAAUAGAAAAGGAGAACAGGAGAUAAAGUAACUCCCUGAAGCAUCACUCAGAGGCACAGAUGCCUGACAUUGGCAUCUCAGACCCCAGUGUAGUUCCCAUUGCUUUCAAUUUUGGGGCAAAUUUCCUUAAUCCAGAGGGAAGCCAUCAGACUAUUACAUGAGCUCCACAUUCUCCAAAAGUGACUUUUCCAAUUUCUGCAGUGGAUAACAUUUAUAGCUGCGUUUGAGUUAUAUUUUCUGUAUAUUCACUGAAAUUAUCCUAUUACAAUCAAGCAUAAGUUACCCUGAAUGCAGAAGGGGGCGUGCUCACUGUCUCUGAGAACUAAGUGCCAGGAAUAUGUUCCAAGGUGUUCAUUUUCUUUCUUUUCAUUUUGAGACAGAGUUAUUGAUCUUAAGAGCUUGAUCCUCCUCUUGCUCCAGCUUCUUCUACCUGUUGGAAUUUACUGACAUGAGCCGCCAUGUUUGAAUUAAUUUUCCUAUUGCAUUUGAAUAUCACCCCCGAAGUACAAGCAACGUCCUUCUAGAAAGAAAAGUAAAAGUAAGUUGCUACAGUUAGAAAAUGUGUUCUUUAAUUGCUCACAGAAAAGAAGCAUUAAAGCAGAAGAGAAAAACCUCUCCCCCUUCCCCCCAUCAAAAGUGAACAUUUGCUAUUGACAUUCAAAAUGUAGGAACCACAGGAGCGGGCUUCAAAUCCCACAGAACUCAGGGAAUGGGUGAAGGUUAAAAUGAACCAAAUCAACAGAUAGGACCAAAAGUAAUAGAAUAACUUUGAAAAGAAGCCACAGUAUCCAAGCCAAAACAUACAGUCUUAAAGAGUUUAUUUAUUUUUAUUCUAUGUAUGUGUUUUGCUUGUAUACAAGUUUAUGUGCCAUCUGCAUCACUAGUCAGCAAGAAGGGCAGGAGAGGGCAUUGGGUCCCAUGGAACAGGAGUAACAGAUGACUAUGAGCUUCCCUGUGGGUGCUGGGAAACAAACCUGUGUCCUUCGCAAGAACAGUGAGUGUUCUUAACUGCUGAGCCAUCUAUCUCUUCAGGCUUCGAGACCCUGUAUUUACUGAUUCAAUGCACAGACAUAUCUGAAGACCAAAUGCACUUAUCUGGGAGAUGUUGAACCAGGAAAGCACAGAGAACAACCAAAGAGACAAGUUUGGAAUAAUGCUCACUUGAGAAAACCACCACUACGAUUAAUUUAGACUGAGGGAAGCAAGAGAACAUGCCUUGACAUGGAUUCUCAACCCUCUGAAAAAGUCACCCUAUUAAUAACAUGGAAGGACAGAUCAAUGAAUUAACAGUUAUGGCAAUAUUCUAUUAUCAAUCUGCUAUGUCAUAUGUGAUGGUGCACCUUUAGUCCUAGCAUUUGGAAGGCAGGGGGAGGCAAAUCUAUGAGUUUGAGGCUAGACUAAUCUAUAGAGUGAGUUCUAGGGCACCAUGGCUACAUUAUGAGACCCUCUCUCAAAAAAAAAAAAGAAAAGAAAAGGAGAGAGAGAGAGAGAGAGAGAGAGAGAGAGAGAGAGAGAGAGAGAAAUCCAUUACACACUAGACACUAGCAGAAGUUGACAGAAUUGACAUGUAGGUAUACUGGGAUGCUCAGUGUUGUGGUGAAGCAGAGGUCACUCUGAAAAUACAUUAGGAAGGAAAGAAAACACUUCAAAUGCUGACGCAAAAUGAAAGAAAGGCUUCUUCUAACCAAUAUGUCUGGCAGCGCUUGAAGGUAAAAGAGAGAGAGAAGGAAGCCUGAAGCUCAGUAGUGGUUUAGUACAGCUAGAGGCAGAAAGGAGUGAGAGUCAGAGAGUUGUUACAAGUCCAGUUCCCCCAAGGUUCACUCUGCUCGGGGGAGUGGGGGAGCACUAGGCUUGCACUGUGUCAUCGUAUUCUUUGCCAACAUUUAACAGAGGUGCUGGUGGUCAUCUAGGAGCUUGUCAAGGGAGGGGAUGGACAGAGAGAUGAGAGAGAGAUGGAAGACUGAGACGCAGAGAAUGUUGCUACGCUUCACGCAACCAGUGGACACCAGAUGUGAAGCAGGCUGGGGAGGGUGAAGAGGUACCAGUGAAUUGGGUAUGAUUUUCUAGGGCAAUCAGCCAUGUGUAUAAAUUAUAUGUGUAUGCAUUACAAAGGGGAUUCAUUAGAAUGGCUUACAGUCCACACGGGCUGGGAAGUCCAACAGUGGUCCUCUUCACCCUGGAAAGCCUGAGAAGUUACUGCACGGGUUACAAAACUGAUGCCCCAGCUGUCCCCACCUGACAUGGAGGGUCCGAAGGAGUCCGAGAGGAUCGCUGGUAUUCCAUCCAAAAUAUUCGCCUAUUAGUUCUUUCUAGAUCUAAUAUAUUGGUAAUCUACAUCAACCAGGAGACUAAGAGGGGAAACGUGGCUACAAAUAAGUUUUCAAACCACCGAACAACAAUAAAUAAUUCAGAGAAUAAAGAGGGAAAUAUUACAGCCUCCUGGAAAGUACACAGUAGGAAAAGACCAGUACCUAGCACAGUGCUCUGUCCAAGAUCAAGGGACAAGCCAAUCUGGUAUCUGCUGAGGUCUCACUCAUGACUGCCUUCUUGCUGCAACCAGACAGGGUGGAAGGGACAAAUGUGUCCUCGCAUGGUAGAAAGGAUGGCGGGGCAUCAGUUUUUAUCUGUAUUUCACCAAGGGGUUUUUCUAGCUCAUCUCUUUAGAUACACAAAGACCAUUACGUAAUCACUGGCCGUGCCGUCGCUGCUACAGCAUACGGUACAGGUGUUCAGCCUCAGAACAACUGACAGUUUGAACCACACAGCCUAGCUGUGCUAUAGGCCGGGCCAUCUAGGUGAGGACGCUAGUGUGAACACAGUGACAAUGUCCAUAGUGACAAAGUUCUUGGGCAGAUCCCCGCUGCUAGUGAUAGUUAUAAAUGGUUUAAGCAACCUCAGACUUAGCGACAAAGUGUUUCAGGAUUUUUGUCCAACCUAGUACAGUGGUUCUCAACCUGGGAGUUAUGACCCCUUGGGGAUGAAGGACCCUUUCACAGGGGUCACCUAAGACCAUCGUAAAACACAGAUCUUUACAAUAUGAUUUAUAACAAUGGCAAAAUUACAGUUACGAAGUAGCAGUGCAAAUAAUUUUGUGGUUGGGGGUCGCUCCAGCAUGGGGAACUCUAAACUAUGUCAAAGGGUCCGAGCAUUAGGAAGUUCGAAAGCCACUGCCUUAGAAAGUACUGAAGACGGAAUUUAAAUCUGCAAUGUUAUCACUUGAAGAUGGUCCUUUCCAGCAAUGCACAGUCAUCACAACUGCAAUAGACGCUAUCUCACUUGGCAGAUAGCUUUACAGAAAGAACUAAGAUUAGUCUAACCCUGACUCAUUGUAGAUGCCUGCCUUAUUCCAUAAUCAAUUUGAUUUCUUAAUGCAGACUCCCUUUCAAAAUAUUAAGUACUAAGAGCGAGCCUAAAUUGAGCGUAGACGUUUCCUCUUUCAUAGCUCACACAGAAGUGGACCUGCACUACUGAAAUGGGUGUAUUUGAUAUUGCGAUAAAGGAAGUGAAGCUACAGUGGGACCAGGAAGAGGCUCUUCAAGAUAAGGACCAUACUAGGAACUUGUUGCCCUCCUCCAUAUAUGGCUUAUAAAAACCCUUCCCUGCUCACUGAGAUGUAAGAGAGCGAAUUCCCAGAUCCGAGAUGCUUUUCCUAGUGAAUCAUAGUGGUGUUGUGUACACAAAACAUGGCAGGAGAAAGAAAUGCCUUCAGAAAGCUUGGGGAGGGUGAGUGGUCACUCAGCAGCCCAAGCAAGUUCUCUAGCAUUACUGUGCACAGCCUCAGCAGCCUGGACCCUGGUGACCUUACAGACACACUGUACCCAACGCCUCAUCAUUAAUGACAUGAUCCUCCUUUCUCCUCUGUUCAUGGGCAACCUUCUCUCUCCAGCCCUGUCCUGGAGGAACAGUGCCCGAUGUGGCUCCCUCCACUUGAGUGACUUGAGUGAAAUAGUCUCCUGUGUCUCCUGUGGCCUCUCCUUGUCAUCAAGUCAACUUCUGGGAGUUGGUUUCCUUCCACCGUAUGGAUACUAGGGAUCAUAUUCAGGUCAUGGGCUUGGUGGCAACUGUCUUUACCAGCAAAGCCAUGUCACUGGCUCCCAAUCUGCAUAUCAGACAGGACAGUAAGCAGGGAUACUUGCUGAAUCCAUAUGUUGUUUCAGACACAGUGCCAGUCGUUCAGAAUUAAAAAGAAAAAAAAUACUUUCUUAAUUGACCCGAUUACAAAUUUAGCAGAGAAAACGUAUUGUGCUUAAUCCCUGUGUGCUGGUUUGCCUGGCUGCAGGCUGUAAGUACCAGCGUAUGUGCCAGGCCAGCCAAUGUUCGUCCCAAAUGCUGGCCACUUAGAAGUCCUUCACCAAACAUUGUCCAACAAACAAGUUCAUUGCAGAAACUUUAAGGAAUUCUCUUUUCUUUUUACCCUUUUUAAUACUUAAAAACAAUCUUAGAAGCAGGAGCAGAUUUUAGAGAGCACCUUCAGUCGUUAUAAACAUUGUCUAUUUUCAUGAAAUCAACUGAAUUCUAACUCCAAACGCCUUUGCCACCGAGCUGGCAGAUGAUUAAGUCUGGUCAGUUAGGAGCUGGACCCUUCUCAGGCACCACUGAGUCAGGCAGGUCCAGCUGAGAUACAGGAAAUAAAGAACUCACUUGUCUGUCAAUCUGCUCUAAGGUUGGGGCUGUCCUGUCAAUCUCUGCUGUGUAGGAUUCAAAAUUCUGAGCCAAUUGUCAGAAGCCACCUCCCAGAGUCCAUCCCCAAAACACCUGGAAGGAUUUGCUUCCUUUGGUCAAUACUAUACACCUCCCUCAGUGGAGCCUCUUGGACCUACUUCUGAGUGAAACCAGAAAGGGGAAACUUACUUCAACUUUUAUUAUAUCUUUAUGUUUAUGCAUUUUGAUUCUGGAAAUUACCCAGUUUAAAAAUAGGUCUGUUGGCACACACAUCUGUAAUCUGAGAACGUGGGAGGCUGAGCCUGGGAUAUGGCUACAGAUGUACAUAGAAAGAAAUCUGGGUUCCCCAGCCCUACACACACACACACACACACACACACACACACACACAC
ensembl:lncRNA